rnacentral:rRNA from 1 species
AUCGAACGCUGGCGGCAUGCCUAACACAUGCAAGUCGAGCGGAUGAACGCAGCUUGCUCCUGGAUUCAGCGUCGGACGCGUGAGUAAUGCCUAUGAAUCUCCUUCGUAUUACUUUGUAACGUCCUCAAACGGCCGCUAAUACCGCAUACUUCCUGCUGGAGAUACUUGGUGAUCUUCGGACCUCUCGCUAUCAUAUGAGCCUAGGUCGGAUUAGCUAGUUGGUGGGGUAAAGGCCUACCAAGGCGACGAUCCGUAACUGGUCUGAGAGGAUGAUCAGUCACAUGGGAAGUGAGACACGGACAAGACUACUAAGGGACGCAGCAGUGGGGAAUAUUGGACAAUGGGGGAAAGCCUGAUACAGCGAUGCGGCGUGUGUGAAGAAGGUGUUCGGAGUGUAAAGCACGUUAAGGGGGGAGGAAGGGCAGUAAGCUAAUACGUUGCUGUAGUGACGGUACCAACAGAAGAAGCACCGGCUAACUACGUG